rnacentral:rRNA from 1 species
AUUUGGUUAAGUUAGAAAGGGCGCACGGUGGAUGCCUUGGCACUAGGAGCCGAUGAAGGACGGGACUAACACCGAUAUGCUUCGGGGAGCUGUAAGUAAGCUUUGAUCCGGAGAUUUCCGAAUGGGGAAACCCGCUGCACGUAAUGGUGCAGUAUCCA